rnacentral:rRNA from 1 species
ACGCUGGCGGCGUGCCUAAUACAUGCAAGUCGAGCGAACGGACGAGAAGCUUGCUUCUCUGAUGUUAGCGGCGGACGGGUGAGUAACACGUGGAUAACCUACCUAUAAGACUGGGAUAACUUCGGGAAACCGGAGCUAAUACCGGAUAAUAUUUUGAACCGCAUGGUUCAAAAGUGAAAGACGGUCUUGCUGUCACUUAUAGAUGGAUCCGCGCUGCAUUAGCUAGUUGGUAAGGUAACGGCUUACCAAGGCAACGAUGCAUAGCCGACCUGAGAGGGUGAUCGGCCACACUGGAACUGAGACACGGUCCAGACUCCUACGGGAGGCAGCAGUAGGGAAUCUUCCGCAAUGGGCGAAAGCCUGACGGAGCAACGCCGCGUGAGUGAUGAAGGUCUUCGGAUCGUAAAACUCUGUUAUUAGGGAAGAACAUAUGUGUAAGUAACUGUGCACAUCUUGACGGUACCUAAUCAGAAAGCCACGGCUAACUACGUGCCAGCAGCCGCGGUAAUACGUAGGUGGCAAGCGUUAUCCGGAAUUAUUGGGCGUAAAGCGCGCGUAGGCGGUUUUUUAAGUCUGAUGUGAAAGCCCACGGCUCAACCGUGGAGGGUCAUUGGAAACUGGAAAACUUGAGUGCAGAAGAGGAAAGUGGAAUUCCAUGUGUAGCGGUGAAAUGCGCAGAGAUAUGGAGGAACACCAGUGGCGAAGGCGACUUUCUGGUCUGUAACUGACGCUGAUGUGCGAAAGCGUGGGGAUCAAACAGGAUUAGAUACCCUGGUAGUCCACGCCGUAAACGAUGAGUGCUAAGUGUUAGGGGGUUUCCGCCCCUUAGUGCUGCAGCUAACGCAUUAAGCACUCCGCCUGGGGAGUACGACCGCAAGGUUGAAACUCAAAGGAAUUGACGGGGACCCGCACAAGCGGUGGAGCAUGUGGUUUAAUUCGAAGCAACGCGAAGAACCUUACCAAAUCUUGACAUCCUUUGACAACUCUAGAGAUAGAGCCUUCCCCUUCGGGGGACAAAGUGACAGGUGGUGCAUGGUUGUCGUCAGCUCGUGUCGUGAGAUGUUGGGUUAAGUCCCGCAACGAGCGCAACCCUUAAGCUUAGUUGCCAUCAUUAAGUUGGGCACUCUAAGUUGACUGCCGGUGACAAACCGGAGGAAGGUGGGGAUGACGUCAAAUCAUCAUGCCCCUUAUGAUUUGGGCUACACACGUGCUACAAUGGACAAUACAAAGGGCAGCGAAACCGCGAGGUCAAGCAAAUCCCAUAAAGUUGUUCUCAGUUCGGAUUGUAGUCUGCAACUCGACUACAUGAAGCUGGAAUCGCUAGUAAUCGUAGAUCAGCAUGCUACGGUGAAUACGUUCCCGGGUCU